AUUGAACGCUGGCGGCAGGCCUAACACAUGCAAGUCGAGCGGAUGAAGGGAGCUUGCUCCUGGAUUCAGCGGCGGACGGGUGAGUAAUGCCUAGGAAUCUGCCUGGUAGUGGGGGAUAACGUCCGGAAACGGGCGCUAAUACCGCAUACGUCCUGAGGGAGAAAGUGGGGGAUCUUCGGACCUCACGCUAUCAGAUGAGCCUAGGUCGGAUUAGCUAGUUGGUGGGGUAAAGGCCUACCAAGGCGACGAUCCGUAACUGGUCUGAGAGGAUGAUCAGUCACACGGGAACUGAGACACGGUCCAGACUCCUACGGGAGGCAGCAGUCGGGAAUAUUGGACAGUGGGCGAAAGCCUGAUCCAGCCAUGCCGCGUGUGUGAAGAAGGUCUUCGGAUUGUAAAGCACUUUAAGUUGGGAGGAAGGGCAGUAAGUUAAUACCUUGCUGUUUUGACGUUACCAACAGAAUAAGCACCGGCUAACUUCGUG
rnacentral:rRNA from 1 species